UCCUAAUAACGGCCGAUUUCCUGAUUUGG
rnacentral:piRNA from 1 species